AAUUUAACAGGACGAAACGGGCUGGUUUAAAAAUCCAUUUAAAGAAAACCCAGCAUGGUAGAUAUCGCUGUGAUUACAACAAAUUGUCCAGUGACAAUAUAUGCCUGAUUCGUAUGCCUUUGCUAGUUAUUGCUAUAGUUACGUUCCACGCACAAGCAAAAUAUAUAGCAAAUUCUUGGCUAAAAUUUUUUGUGGUUCUGGGUACCCGCCUUUAAAAAC
rnacentral:lncRNA from 1 species